AAGCAAUAACUUCAUUCAAAUUCAAUAUCAUCUUCUUGUUCUUUUUCUUCAAUUUCUUCAAUGUGCAAAAUCAUCUUCUUCUUUUUCUUCAAUUUUCCAACGACCAUAAUGUCAUCCUCUUCUUCCAUUGUUGAUAUAAAAUCAAUACACCCAAGCAAUAACUUCACUCAAUUCAAUCUUCUUUGUUAUACGACACCAAAAGUUACA
rnacentral:lncRNA from 1 species